GUAAGUAAAAUAUGCUAAGAGUCACACCGCAUUAUUAGACACUUCCUGACUGGGCUUUGCGGACUUGGUGCGGUUAUAAAAAAAGUAAAUCGGACUACCUUCAAAAAAGUGCCACAAGGUCUAGAUUUAACUACGCCUAUGGCACAUAAGAAUAAGUUUGCAGAGUCAACUAAUGGGUUUAAUUCAACCUAUUGUCAGGGAUUAGAAAGUGAAGAAAAAGAGGUAUUUCCAUUUUAGUUAUCACUGUAUUAUUUUACCUUUCACAUUUUCAUUCUGGUAAACAAAUAAAAUAUGUGUUCAACUUUUUGUUCUCGAUUCAGUUAUUUUUUUAAUUUCAGUAUACUGUUAC